rnacentral:rRNA from 1 species
AUAAAGUUUUCUUUGUUGGGGUUGCGGACAUAUCAUAACGAAGAGGUAUCGUAAUUGAAGAGGUUUGGAAAGACCCACCACAGAAGGUAAUAGUCCUGUAUGUUAAACGAGAAGACUUUAGAUAUGAUCCAGAGUACCACGGGACACGUGAAACCCUGUGGGAAGCAGGAGGGACCACCCUCCAAGGCUAAAUACUACCUAGUGACCGAUAGCGUAUAGUACCGUGAGGGAAAGGUGAAAAGAACCCCGGGAGGGGAGUGAAAUAGAACCUGAAACCCUGCACUUACAAGCUGUGGAAGCACAUUUCUUGUGUGACCGCGUACUUUUUGUAGAACGGGCCAACGAGUUACGUUAAGUAGCAAGGUUAAGCACUUAAGGUGCGGAGCCGUAGCGAAAGCGAGUUUUAACUGAGCGUUCAGUUACUUGACGUAGACCCGAAACCGGGCGACCUACCCAUGAGCAGGAUGAAGCGAAAGUAAAAUUUCGUGGAGGUCCGAACCCACGAGCGUUGAAAAGCUCGGGGAUGACUUGUGGGUAGCGGUGAAAUUCCAAUCGAGCCCGGAGAUAGCUGGUUCUCCCCGAAAUAGCUUUAGGGCUAGCCUCAAGGUGAGAGAUACGGAGGUAGAGCACUGAAUGUCCUAGGGGGUAUUGCACCUACCGAAGACUAUCAAACUCCGAAUGCCGUCAUCUUAUACUUGGGAGUCAGACUGUGGGUGAUAAGAUUCAUAGUCGAAAGGGCAACAGCCCAGAUCGUCAGCUAAGGUCCCUAAAUGUAAGUUAAGUGGUAAAGGAUGUGGGAUUGCACAGACAACCAGGAUGUUGGCUUAGAAGCAGCCACUCAUUCAAAGAGUGCGUAAUAGCUCACUGGUCGAGUGAUCCUGCGCCGAAGAUUUCCGGGGCUAAAACUUACUACCGAAGCUACGGCAUCAGUAAUGAUGGGUAGGGGAGCUUCCCAUACGGGUUGAAGCAUGACCGUAAGGACAUGUGGACAGUAUGGGAGUGAGAAUGUUGGCAUGAGUAGCGAGAUGUGGGUGAGAAUCCCACAGGCCGUAAACCCAAGG